GACGAACGCUGGCGGCGUGCUUAACACAUGCAAGUCGAACGAAGUGGCGAACGGGUGCGUAAUACGUGAGUAACCUGCCCUCCUUUUUGGGAUAAGCCUUGGAAACGGGGUCUAAUACCGAAUAACGGGGGUUGGGCUCGCGGCCUAUCAGCUUGUUGGUGGGGUGAUGGCCUACAAAGGCGGUGGCGGGUAGUCGGCCUGGGAGGGUGACCGACCACAUUGGAACGGGGAUACGGUCCGGACGCAUACUGGAGGGAGCAGUGGGGGAGAUUGCACAAUGGGCGAACGCCGGAUGGUGCGGUGAAGCGUGGAGGAUGAAGGCUGUCGGGUUGUAAACCUGUUUGGCUAUCGAACCGGUAGGGGGAGAAGAAGCACCGGCUAACUACGUGCCAGCAGCCGCGGUAAUAC
rnacentral:rRNA from 1 species